rnacentral:rRNA from 1 species
CGGACGGGUGAGUAAUGCUUGGGAAUCUGGCUUAUGGAGGGGGAUAACUACGGGAAACUGUAGCUAAUACCGCGUAAAAUCUUUGGAUUAAAGGGUGGGACUUUCGGGCCACCUGCCAUAAGAUGAGCUCAAGUGGGAUUAGGUAGUUGGUUAGGUAAAGGCUGACCAAGCCGACGAUCUCUAGCUGGUCUGAGAGGAUGACCAGCCACACUGGAACUGAGACACGGUCCAG